AGCACGCCGCGUGAGUGAUGAAGGUUUUCGGAUCGUAAAGCUCUGUUGUUAGGGAAGAACAAGUACCGUUCGAAUAGGGCGGUACCUUGACGGUACCUAACCAGAAAGCCACGGCUAACUACGUGCCAGCAGCCGCGGUAAUACGUAGGUGGCAAGCGUUGUCCGGAAUUAUUGGGCGUAAAGGGCUCGCAGGCGGUUUCUUAAGUCUGAUGUGAAAGCCCCCGGCUCAACCGGGGAGGGUCAUUGGAAACUGGGGAACUUGAGUGCAGAAGAGGAGAGUGGAAUUCCACGUGUAGCGGUGAAAUGCGUAGAGAUGUGGAGGAACACCAGUGGCGAAGGCGACUCUCUGGUCUGUAACUGACGCUGAGGAGCGAAAGCGUGGGGAGCGAACAGGAUUAGAUACCCUGGUAGUCCACGCCGUAAACGAUGAGUGCUAAGUGUUAUGGGGUUUCCGCCCCUCAGUGCUGCAGCUAACGCAUUAAGCACUCCGCCUGGGGAGUACGGUCGCAAGACUGAAACUCAAAGGAAUUGACGGGGGCCCGCACAAGCGGUGGAGCAUGUGGUUUAAUUCGAAGCAACGCGAAGAACCUUACCAGGUCUUGACAUCCUCUGACAAUCCUAGAGAUAGGACGUCCCCUUCGGGGGCAGAGUGACAGGUGGUGCAUGGUUGUCGUCAGCUCGUGUCGUGAGAUGUUGGGUUAAGUCCCGCAACGAGCGCAACCCUUGAUCUUAGUUGCCAGCAUUCAGUUGGGCACUCUAAGGUGACUGCCGGUGACAAACCGGAGGAAGGUGGGGAUGACGUCAAAUCAUCAUGCCCCUUAUGACCUGGGCUACACACGUGCUACAAUGGACAGAACAAAGGGCAGCGAAACCCGCGAGGUUAAGCCCAAUCCCACAAUC
rnacentral:rRNA from 1 species